UAGGUUUUCCCAGAAAAGGAGCUGCCAAGCUCUUCAGAACUCUGUCCUCACGAUAUUUCCCAACUUUUUUGACCAGGUUCUGUUAACAGUCCUUUUCCAAAUUUGUGCUGAGGUAAGGAGGACUGGAAAACAGUCCAUUGGGAAAUCAUCUGAGAGUGGGUUCAUGUGACAGCUCUUUCUGCGACUUGUCAUGCCGUGAAUAGCAGAGCAACAGCCUUUCAGCACUCAACCAUGUCACUGCCUGCCUUGCUUUUGAUGGAACUGGGCUGACCUCCGUGUCCAGCCGCGAAGGCAUUUUCUGUUUUACGAGUCGCGGUGAGCAGAGAGCCAGCAGCCUUGCUCAAGGUGGUUGCUGUUCACAGCUGAGUCUCCUGAGAGGAUUAGCAAUACAACUAAUGAAGACUAAUAAUGCAGGCCUUUGUCAGCAAACUGAAAGCCACCAGCUGGAAGAUAUCCCACACCACAUCUUGAAGCAGCCAUCACAGUGUCUGCAAGCUUGACAUGUCCUUCCCUCCUCUGAGCACCUUGUGACAGCACAGCAAAUAAACCAGCUCCUGUGUGUGUUUAGAUUGUACUC
rnacentral:lncRNA from 1 species